AGAAAAGAAUAGGAAAGGAGGAGAGAAAGGAAGAAAGUUCUAGGGAGAGAGAAAGUUCUAGAGAGAGGGAGGUAACAGCCGCUCCGGCCACGAGGAGUCCGGUUCCGGCCGAGCCUUCUUCACCAAAUCUUAACAGAACAAAAGGAGAACGUUCUUGACUCUCAAAUCGUCCAAAACCGUCAAGGAAGAAGAAAAUCCGUAGAGGUGAGGAAGAAGACGAACGGCGGAGGGACGCGUGUCAGGCAAAGAGAGGGCCGCGCGUCGCCGUAGUGGUCGACACGUGGCAGGCGUGUAUUGGUGGAGAAAUUCAACGAAAUACUUCGCGUCGGGCAGGAUUCGAACGCUGGCAGCCGCUACUCGAGUCCGCGACCCGAUGACCCGCGCGCAACCCGGAUCACCGACCCGGCUUCGUGAUGCCACGUGUCACUGUAAAAGAAUUCGGAUUUCCAGCGCGUCGUUCCGGUUUCGAACCGACGACCUCGAUCUCGGCUGACCGUUCAGCGGGCGACACGUGGCAAUACCGCAGCGCGCGUCUUCCUUCCCUCAUGCGCGUCCGCGCGUAGUAAUACUUUCCGCAGGCGCGUGUGAGCGCGUGCAUACGCGUGAGGUGCUGUUUUCAGCCGGUUCGACUUCUGUUUUCCCGAAUUUCCUCCCGAUUCCAACUCUAACCCUACUUUUAUAUGAAAUAGGACUUAAAUAGAGAAAAUCAGUAUUUGUAGACACGCUAUUGGUGUAGAAGCGCUAAACGAAGAACACGUGUCAAUCAGGUACCGGUCGAGGUGGAGGAGCGUUCGAGAGUUAUGCGGUCACAAAGGGGGUUAGCGUCAGUCCCUUGUCGGUCUUUUAGAGUCUUUUGUAUUUCAUUUUAUGUUUGUAAUAAUUUCGAAACAAAACUUCUCUCUCUUGUUUUAAUUCAAUGGUAUUUUUAUCUUUUUACUUUA